GGGCCUAUAACUCAGUUGGUUAGAGUAGCGGACUCAUAAUCCGUUUGUCCC
rnacentral:tRNA from 1 species